AUACGUAGGUGACAAGCGUUAUCCGGAUUUACUGGGCGUAAAGGGCGUGUAGGCGGUCUUGCAAGUCAGAAGUGAAAUUCCUGAGCUCAACUCGGGCGCUGCUUCUGAAACUGCAGGACUUGAGUGCUGGAGGGGAUAGCGGAAUUCCUAGUGGAGCGGUAAAAUGCGCAGAUAUUAGGAAGAACACCGGUGGCGAAGGCGGCUAUCUGGACAGUAACGGACGCUGAGGCGCGAAAGCGUGGGGAGCAAACAGGAUUAGAUACCCUGGUAGUCCACACUGUAAACGAUGAAUGCUAGGUGUAGGGGGUAUCGACCCCUUCUGUGCCGCAGUCAACACAAUAAGCAUUCCGCCUGGGGAGUACGGCCGCAAGGUUGAAACUCAAAUGAAUUGACGGGG
rnacentral:rRNA from 1 species